UUGAUGUACAGCAGCUGAGUUGUCAUGCCCAUGCAGUAUGGGAAGUGGAUGGUAGCAGUGCUCCUGGGGAUCUUUCCUGCUGUGACUUCAAGGUUCUUUCUGUGAAAACUAUAAAUGCUCCGUCCUUCCCAAAGCCUUCUCAGGCCUGCUGCACAGAGUGUAUAAUAUGCUGAUACUGGAGAUUUUGCUCAGUUUUAUACUCAGAAGGCUGUAAUCUGCUAAUGCCUAUCGCUUCUGGAGGUGAGACCAUGCAGUGAGCUCAGAGAGAUUGCUGCAUCUGGAAGCACUACAGAAAUGUGCCUCAGGCAGGUGCUAUCUCUUCCAGUCCUCAGCAGCUGCCAAACCUCGCUGCAGCUCCCUCACCUGAAGUGUGAAAGGGCAAAAUCUGUCUGGCUGGAGAACAUCCAUCCCACAGAAAGGGAGUUUAAUGCUCACCAGUGCCAUCCAACUACUCAGAAGUUCCCACUUUUGGACAUGUUGUAUUCCUGUCAUUGUCCAGGACAAGUGUGGCAGACACCUUGAUUUCUCUAGGCUGUGCAUCCCAUCCAGGAGAUACUGGUAAGUUAGCAGGGUUUGUUUUUCACCUUCCCCCAUUAGAUUAGCUUCAGCUGGUUGGGAAGUUGGCCUGGGAAUGGAGUGAGCGUGGGAAUCCACAGCAGCCACCCACCCUUGACUUGAGACACAGCUGCAGGGGUAAGGAAGGCAGAAGCUUCCUAUGGACAUCCUGCCGUAGCAGAGAUGUGGACACUUGUGUAUCACCCACAUAAGUGAAGUUUUCCUUUCCCAGUCCGUUCCUACCCACAUUCAUGUCAAAGAAGGGGACAAACCCCAAAUAUCCACAGCAAAAUAGGCACGGAUGAAAUUACUAUAAGAAUAGUAAUUUUUAAAAGGUAAUGACUUAUCCACUGGUGCUGGGGACAGCACAAGUUCUGAGGGAAAGAUGUUCUUUUUCUCUCCAUAAGUGCCUGAGGGGUAUUCAUUUGCUGAAAAGCAUUUUCUCCUGUAUGCUUGAGAUGGUUUGAAAUGCUUCCAGGAACACAGCCAAUUCCCACCUUCAGCUCCCCCCCUGCCUUGUCCUUUCCCAGUGGGCUGUCCUUCCAGUGAGGAAAUGCAAAGGGAGGGUAAGCUGCUCCUGCUGCCUCUGAAGGUCACAGGCACAAGGGGCUCAUGCUGGCUCCUUGGGACAGUGUCUCAGCACAGAUUCCAGCAGCAUCUCCUGCUCGCUGCACCUGUUGGCAAGGUAUGCAUAUGGCUGUCAGCACUUCUGGAGGAGAAUGUUAAUGUUUGCAUGUUUUAGCAGUCUGAUCAAGCAUCCAACACUCAUCUGGUGGGAGAAGAAAUGAGAGAAGAGAGCAAAAAUUGAGGCAGAGACCUCCUAGCAGUGAAUCUUGCCUUUGAUGUUUGGGACAGAGUAUGGCUUGUGUUAACGUAUCUUUGCAGCUGUGCUGGCAUGGGUGGACUUUAAACCAGCCAUACAGGGAACGCAGUCAGCUCAUACACCCCUGGGGCAGCAGCUCUGUUUGUGUUUUGUAGGGGUAUGCACAUGGUGAUGCAGAACCCACAGGUACUAUGAGUCUCUAUAGCAGCUUUUACAAACAGAGGCCAUUUAAAGCAGCCUGGAGGUUGCUCUACUCUGUACCAGUGGCAGAUUUUGCCUUUGGCCCAUGCCAGGAUCAGGAGGAGUGGAAAAAAUGCCUCUGCCUAUCAUUGCCUUGCUACGAUAGCUACACCGAACAGCUCUUUACUCUGUUAAAUCUGAUUUCCUCAGUGCUAUUUAUGGUAUAAAAGCAAAGGGUCUCUGGAGUAAGACUGAUUGCAAAACCAGUGUAAAAGCAAAGAAAAUUAGGUCUGUUCUACUGUUAGCCAGCAUGUAAUUUUUAGCUGCAGUGAGCAUAUUGCCACAAACCUUGUCAGGAAACAAACUGUGUGGUGAUCAGAAGUACCUGGGGAGAAUGCGCUUACUGAUGUGUGAAAUGCCUCGGCCGUCACUCAAGCGAUCCUCGCAGCUCCAAGGACAAAUAAGCAGCAUCUGUGUUAAUGCUCUUUGCAGCAUUCAGUGCUGGUGGCUGCAUUUUGGGAGCCCAGUGGUGGAGUGAGCCCUCACUGCUCUCCAAUCGGCUACACGUCCAUC